rnacentral:lncRNA from 1 species
GGCUGACCCACUGUCACUUGGCAGUUCAGCGGUCCCUGCUGAGCAGGACAAGGACUGAGGACAUCCGCGGAGGGUUCCACAUAGAUGUAACCGGCUGAGGCUGGAGCAGAUGCUGUCGGGUAUGUGGGGAGGAACACUGUUACCUGGCAGCUCAGAGGUCCCUGCUGAGCAGGUCAGGGAUUGAGGACAUCUGUGGAGGAUUUCGCACAGAUGUAACCUGCUGAGACUGGAGCAGAUGCUGUCAGUGGUCCACAGAGCAUCCACUCCAAUGUCUGAAAUAUGCCGGCUGCUCCCCAGACGAAUGAGAACAAGAAGCUAGAAUAAGAGAGGAGGGCUGUGUUGAUGUGAAAAGUAUCAAAAUAAAACUCCCUGGAAAACAAGAAGCAACCGGAGGAGCGUGACUCUUGUCUCUCCUCAUCCCUGAGCUCAGCUGGUCC